UACGAAGGGGGCUAGCGUUGUUCGGAAUUACUGGGCGUAAAGCGCGCGCAGGCGGUCUUCCAAGUCAGUGGUGAAAGCCCGGAGCUCAACUCCGGAAUUGCCAUUGAAACUGUUAGACUUGAGGAUGAGAGAGGUGAGUGGAAUUCCCAGUGUAGAGGCGAAAAUUCGUAGAUAUCGGGAGGAACACCAGUGGCGAAGGCGGCGAUCUGGGAAGAUACUGACGCUGAGGUGCGAAAGCGUGGGGAGCAAACAGG
rnacentral:rRNA from 1 species